CAUUUCCUGCUAGAGAUGGUGCUGUGAUAUUUAAACCGACACUAUUACCUUGGGAAUUCGGAGUUUUGCUAUGUAUGUGCAGCCGGUUAAAUCGGAAUACAGAAAUAGCAAACAGGAUACCCACCUGCUGCGCAGGGUUUAAACAAGCAGUAACCACUAGUGGGAUUUUU
rnacentral:other from 1 species